CAUCAACAUCUAAAACCUCAUAUUCCUUUCUAAUGUUAAAACCAUCCACAUCAUGAGACCCCCUUUUCAGUAUCCUUUUCUCCUAUUCUCAUAAUCAACUCUAUCACACUCAUCAAUUUUUAAAGUUUUUAAUUUUUAACAUACUUAAACAUAGAACCCACAACAUAUUUUACCAAUUAUAUUUCUUUUUAUGUUUUUCGGAUCAUGUUUGACAUUUUAUUUUUCUUGUUGAAGAUCCUAAAAUUGACAUGUAUAAAAUAAUAUUUUAGCAUCAUAAAUAUUUUAAUUACAAACAUAAUUAUUAUCAUGAGGAUUUUACUUAUAGAGUUUGAUAGUAUCAUAUGAGUUAUGUUAGAUAAAGCUAAUAAUUGUAUAUAACAAAAUUAUUGUAUAGUCUUAGAGUUUAAUAUCUUGAUAAUACACUUUUUCUCUCCCCACUUUGUAUUC
rnacentral:lncRNA from 1 species